AAUGGGCGAAAGCCUGACGGAGCAAGACCGCGUGAGGGAGGAAGGCUCUUGGGUUGUAAACCUCUUUUCUCAGGGAAUAAGCAAUGAAGGUACCUGAGGAAUCAGCAUCGGCUAACUCCGUGCCAGCAGCCGCGGUAAUACGGAGGAUGCAAGCGUUAUCCGGAAUCAUUGGGCGUAAAGCGUCCGCAGGUGGUAAUUCAAGUCGAUUGUCAAAGGCAGUAGCUUAACUACGGACAGGCAGUGGAAACUGGACAACUAGAGUGCGGUAGGGGUAGAGGGAAUUCCCGGUGUAGCGGUGAAAUGCGUAGAGAUCGGGAAGAACACCAGUGGCGAAAGCGCUCUGCUGGACCUGC
rnacentral:rRNA from 1 species